rnacentral:rRNA from 1 species
CGCCUCUUGAAUAAAAAUAAGAGGUCUAGCCUGCCCAGUGACUAAUAUUCAACGGCCGCGGUAUCCUAACCGUGCGAAGGUAGCGUAAUCACUUGUUCUUUAAAUGGGGACUAGUAUGAAUGGCAUCACGAGGGUUAUACUGUCUCCUUUUUCUAAUCAGUGAAUCUAAUCUCCCCGUGAAGAAACGGGGAUACACCUACAAGACGAGAAGACCCUAUGGAGCUUUAAAUACCUCUUCAAACGUUGGACCUCCUCCCCAGUUUUAAACUCACCCAUAAUAACCCCGUACGCUAUGAAGACAACUUUAGGUUGGGGUGACCGCGGAGUACAACAUAACCUCCACGCUGAAUCAGACUCUUUAAGCCUGAGCCAAGAGCCACUGCUCAAAGCACUAAGAAAUUAACAUUUAUUGACCCAAAACAUUUGAUCAACGAACCAAGUUACCCUAGGGAUAACAGCGCAAUCCAUUUCAAGAGUCCAUAUCGACAAAUGGGUUUACGACCUCGAUGUUGGAUCAGGGUAUCCCAGUGGUGCAGCCGCUACUAAUGGUUCGUUUGUUCAACGAUUAAAACCC